rfam:Salmo salar isolate Sally breed double haploid chromosome ssa08, whole genome shotgun sequence.
CAUAAUUGGUCCUGUAAGUCGCUCUGGAUAAGAGCGUCUGCUAAAUGACUGGUU